rnacentral:rRNA from 1 species
AAACCGGAGGGUCACUCCAAACCCCUGUG